rnacentral:tRNA from 2 species
AGUCUUGGCUGAGUGGUUAAAGCGUGUGCCUGCUAAGCAUAUAGAUAAUUAUCUGCGUGAGUUCGAAUCUCACAGACU